rnacentral:misc_RNA from 1 species
UUUCCGUAGGUGAACCUGCGGAAGGAUCAUUAAAGUUAUAGUCCCCCGGCACUCUGGGCUGGGGUCUUCUAUACCACCCUUUGUUUAUUACACCUUUGUUGCUUUGGCAGGCCUGCCCUCGGGCUGCUGGCACCGGCCGGCUCGCGUCUGCCAGAGGACCUAAACUCUGUUUGUAUAUGAAGUCUGAGUACUAUAUAAUAGUUAAAACUUUCAACAACGGAUCUCUUGGUUCUG